AAGCUCGUAGUUGAAUUUCGGGGUUAGUAGGUUGGUCAUGCCUCUGGUAUGUACUGGUCUCACUGAUUCCUCCUUCCUUAUGAACCGUAAUGCCAUUAAUUUGGUGUUGCGGGGAAUUUGGACUGUUACUUUGAAAAAAAUUAGAGUGUUUAAAGCAAGCUAACGCUUGAAUACAUUAGCAUGGAAUAAUGAAAUAGGACGUUCGAUCUUAUUUUGUUGGUUUUCUAGGAUUGACGUAAUGAUUAAUAGGGAUAGUUGGG
rnacentral:rRNA from 1 species